GCAGUGGUGGCUCAGUGGUAGAAUUCUCGCCUUCCAUGUAGAAGACCCAGGUUUGAUUCCUGGCCAGUACA
rnacentral:tRNA from 1 species